CUUUCUGGCAGCACUUUGGCAUACAUCUGGCGAUUUUGGGCUUUGUUUUGGCAGACCAAAACUUUUGGCUUCAAUUUGGCAUGAUUAUGGGCAGCCAUAACAGAUAAGAAGGCGCCAGUAGUGUAUGGCUGAAUUAUGGCAUAUUUCUGGCCAAGCGUAGCGUUAGAUUAAGAGCGGGGACAGCAUCUGAUGAUGCAUACGGGCUGUUUGGCAUGUUUAUGGACAGCCAGAAGAUGGGCGAAGAGCGGGACAGAGUUUUGGCAUGUUUCUGGCUAACCAAAAGACUCAGCAAAGACCGGGAAUUUUCAAACUUUCUACUCGGACAAGACCCAGCCUAGCCCCCAGUUCGACCAGCGAUCGCAGUUGAGUGCAGUCAGCACCCAGCCCCCCAGCUACCCAGCCAUCCAGCCGCCCAGCACCCAGUUUCACAGCUACCCAGCCAUCCAGCACCCCAGCAGCCCAACUGUCCAGCCACAGGCACCAGCCAUCCAGCACCCAGAUACCCAGCCAGCCACCCAGCUACCCAGCUGUCCAGCCACAGGCACCCAGCCAUCCAGCACCCCAGCUACCCAGCCAUCCAGCACCCAGCUACCCAGCCAUCCAGCACCCUACCAAAACAUAUAAUAAAGCAUAAUGAAAUGUA